GAGUUUGAUCGUGGCUCAGGACGAACGCUGGCGGCGUGCCUAAUACAUGCAAGUCGAGCGAAUCACCGGGAGCUUGCUCUCGGCGAUUAGCGGCGGACGGGUGAGUAACACGUGGGCAACCUGCCUGUAAGACUGGGAUAACUUCGGGAAACCGGAGCUAAUACCGGAUCAAUCUUUUCCUCGCAUGAGGAAAAGCUAAAAGACGGUUUCGGCUGUCACUUACAGAUGGGCCCGCGGCGCAUUAGCUAGUUGGUGAGGUAACGGCGUCACCAAGGCGACGAUGCGUAGCCGACCUGAGAGGGUGAUCGGCCACACUGGGACUGAGACACGGCCCAGACUCCUACGGGAGGCAGCAGUAGGGAAUCUUCCGCAAUGGACGAAAGUCUGACGGAGCAACGCCGCGUGAGUGAUGAAGGCCU
rnacentral:rRNA from 1 species